rnacentral:rRNA from 1 species
GAUGAACGCUGGCGGCGUGCCUAAUACAUGCAAGUCGAACGCUGGAGAUCUAGCUUGCUAGCUCGAAGGAGUGGCGAACGGGUGAGUAAUACAUAAGCAACCUACCCACGAAGACUGGGAUAAUCUCUGGAAACGGGGACUAAUACCGGAUAGGUAAUCGGAAGGCAUCUUCUGGUUAUUAAAGGUUAAAAACACUGGUGGAUGGGCUUAUGGCGCAUUAGUUAGUUGGUGAGGUAACGGCCCACCAAGACGAUGAUGCGUAGCCGGCCUGAGAGGGUGAACGGCCACAUUGGGACUGAGACACGGCCCAGACGCCUACGGGAGGCAGCAGUAGGGAAUUUUCGGCAAUGGGGGCAACCCUGACCGAGCAACGCCGCGUGAGUGAAGACGGCCUUCGGGGUGUAAAGCUCUGUUGUAAGGGAAGAACGGUAGAUAGAGAAUAUCUAAGUGACGGUACCUGACCAGAAAGCCACGGCUAACUACGUG